rnacentral:lncRNA from 1 species
CAUGCCUGAACCCAGCUACGCUUCACUGUGAGUCCUGGAAGACCUGCUCCCCGUUUUGCAGGCCUUUUCCCACCUGGCCUGGGAGGGUGGGGCCCUGACUGACUCCAGCUACAAAAGCUGAGGCUGCUGAAGAGACCAGGGAUCAUCUUGGCUGUCUCUCAGUGCAGACCCAGGUCACUGAGCCUGAGCUUCCACUGCAGUCGCCCACCAUGAACCACCAUGGGCAGGAAUGGCAGCAAUGGCAGCAGACACAUUCUAUGCUUAUGGCAAUGACCAGGUCCUGCGUGAUGUGUCGGUGGCUCCCGAUCCUCACUUUCCAAACCUCGAGCGAAUGAAGGAGCUCCCG